rnacentral:rRNA from 1 species
AGAGUUUGAUCCUGGCUCAGGAUGAACGCUGGCGGCGUGCCUAACACAUGCAAGUCGAACGAUGAAACCGCCCUCGGGCGGACAUGAAGUGGCGAACGGGUGAGUAACACGUGACCAACCUGCCCCUUGCUCCGGGACAACCUUGGGAAACCGAGGCUAAUACCGGAUACUCCUCGCCCCCCUCCUGGGGGGCCCGGGAAAGCCCAGACGGCAAGGGAUGGGGUCGCGGCCCAUUAGGUAGUAGGCGGGGUAACGGCCCACCUAGCCCGCGAUGGGUAGCCGGGUUGAGAGACCGACCGGCCACAUUGGGACUGAGAUACGGCCCAGACUCCUACGGGAGGCAGCAGUGGGGAAUUUUGCGCAAUGGGGGAAACCCUGACGCAGCAACGCCGCGUGCGGGACGACGGCCUUCGGGUUGUAAACCGCUUUCAGCAGGGAAGAAAUUCGACGGUACCUGCAGAAGAAGCUCCGGCUAACUACGUGCCAGCAGCCGCGGUAAUACGUAGGGAGCGAGCGUUAUCCGGAUUCAUUGGGCGUAAAGAGCGCGUAGGCGGCCUCUCAAGCGGGAUCUCUAAUCCGAGGGCUCAACCCCCGGCCGGACCCCGAACUGGGAGGCUCGAGUUCGGUAGAGGCAGGCGGAAUUCCCGGUGUAGCGGUGGAAUGCGCAGAUAUCGGGAAGAACACCGAUGGCGAAGGCAGCCUGCUGGGCCGCAACUGACGCUGAGGCGCGAAAGCCAGGGGAGCAAACGGGAUUAGAUACCCCGGUAGUCCUGGCCGUAAACGAUGGAUACUAGGUGUAGGAGGUAUCGACUCCUUCUGUGCCGGAGUUAACGCAAUAAGUAUCCCGCCUGGGGAGUACGGCCGCAAGGCUGAAACUCAAAGGAAUUGACGGGGGCCCGCACAAGCGGUGGAGUAUGUGGUUUAAUUCGACGCAACGCGAAGAACCUUACCAAGCCUUGACAUUGAUUGCUACGGAAAGAGAUUUCCGGUUCUUCUUCGGAAGACAAGAAAACAGGUGGUGCACGGCUGUCGUCAGCUCGUGUCGUGAGAUGUUGGGUUAAGUCCCGCAACGAGCGCAACCCCUAUCUUCUGUUGCCAGCACUAAGGGUGGGGACUCAGAAGAGACUGCCGCAGACAAUGCGGAGGAAGGCGGGGAUGACGUCAAGUCAUCAUGCCCCUUAUGGCUUGGGCUACACACGUACUACAAUGGCUCUUAAUAGAGGGAAGCGAAGGAGCGAUCCGGAGCAAACCCCAAAAACAGAGUCCCAGUUCGGAUUGCAGGCUGCAACUCGCCUGCAUGAAGCAGGAAUCGCUAGUAAUCGCAGGUCAGCAUACUGCGGUGAAUACGUUCCCGGGCCUUGCACACACCGCCCGUCA